AACGAACGCUGGCGGCAUGCCUAGCACAUGCAAGUCGAACGAGACCUUCGGGUCUAGUGGCGCACGGGUGCGUAACGCGUGGGAACCUGCCCUUAGGUUCGGAAUAACUCCCCGAAAGGGGUGCUAAUACCGGAUAAUGUCUUCGGACCAAAGAUUUAUCGCCUUUGGAUGGGCCCGCGUUGGAUUAGCUAGUUGGUAGGGUAAAAGCCUACCAAGGCGACGAUCCAUAGCUGGUCUGAGAGGAUGAUCAGCCACACUGGGACUGAGACACGGCCCAGACUCCUACGGGAGGCAGCAGUGGGGAAUAUUGGACAAUGGGCGAAAGCCUGAUCCAGCGAUGCCGCGUGAAUGAUGAAGGCCUUAGGGUUGUAAAGCUCUUUUACCCGGGAUGAUAAUGACAGUACCGGGAGAAUCAGCUCCGGCUAACUCCGUG
rnacentral:rRNA from 1 species